CUAGUAACUCCUCGUCUUUGGCAAUCCUGCGAAGAGAGCGGUAAAACAGCUGUCCGUUUUUUAUAUAGGCUUCAAGGUUCUGCUCUUCCUUAUCUCUGGCCGACUGGACCAACCGCAGCCACAUGAGACCUUCUGAGGAACCAUUUGCUGCUGAGGUGUCUACCUGCGGUUUGAAAUAGAUGAAAAAAGACAAGAAGGAGAGGGGAGAGGGACCCUCAUGAGAGAAUGAAAUCAGAAGAAUCAAGACCAUUUCUUCUAUGUUAUUCUUUUCCAAAAAUUAUCUGAGACCACGCUUCCAAAAAUUUGGCCCAAGCUGGGACCUGUCCUCAUGUUUGUAACCAGUAGGCAAGAUAACCAUCUUUUGAAACACUGCAUCAAUCAUACAGAUCAUUUAAGUCACCGUUUUUAUAUAUUGGUUGAAUACUAAAUGAGGAAAUUUCUUCUUAGAAUUUAGUGUUAACGUCUUGAGAGUUUACUUCUAAGUUAUCCCACAUUACAAAGGUAUGGAGAAUUUUGUUUGUUUCAGAAAUAAAGCAAGCUUAAAUCUUAGAAAUUACGCUAUGGCAAUCAUGUUCCAAAUCCUGGCUCGAACAAUUAAUAGCUUUUCUUUGUAAAGAAGAAUAGGAAAUGAGAGGCCUUUUAUCUUCCAAUUCAGACAUAUGGAUUUAAUGAUGCUUUACUAUCAAAACCAUUAACAUUUUUACUUAAAUACAAACUCUGGGCACUAGCUAAUAUUACCAAAGAAACUAAUAUUUAGGGGAUGAAGUAGCCUCCUCAAAUGGAAGGCAAAUGUACCCAAUACUUGUCAAAGAACUUGCAGAAACUAGUUAGUAUGCAAAUAGCCUCCGCCCCAGUGAAAUCUCCCAGAGUUUAGGAUAAACCAGAUAAACCAGAACUGAAGCACUGAUUUAGAUAUUUCUAACAUUCCAAAUCAAAUUUUGUCAUUUAUUGCAAAAAAUCAGUUGACAAUAAUUUGAGUUUAAUUUUCCUUUUCUAAUUUUUGAUGUGUGAAAUGGAUUGCUUGCUUUAUUGCAUUUUCCACAGGCAAAACCUAUCUCCACUUGUCAUUAGAAUUAUUUUUAGUCCAUUUGCAACAGGACAUUACCCUCAUACACCUACACAGCUCCAGUGGAGACUUACCCGAAAGAUAUAAGGUACUGUUCUCUUGUCAGUAGACUUGAGAGCUAUGAAAGCUAUGCUGUCAUAUAGGGAAGUAUGGCUCAGGACACAGGGACCAAAUAUAGCAUUCUCAGGGAUGUCGCAGGUGGUGUAAACGCUGGUAAAAAUAUCUGUCAGACAUUGUUGGACAGCCUUGGCAUCUCCAUCCCAGAUGCCUCGCUGGAUGCCUGUAUCCUCCAUCACUGGAGAUAGACACACAGCACAAGAAAGUGAGUUACAAUACUGCUUCUACUGCCAUUAACCUAGGCAGAACUGUUCAAAUACUAGGCAGAUUUUCCUUGCACCUGCCUGAUUUUUGCAUAGCUCUUAUUUCAAAAUUAUAGGAGAUAAACAUGGCAUAUUUUAAAGAUGAAAACUAAGAGAUACUUGUUAAAAUAAUUAGAAUAGUGGGAAAUCUGGAGCUGACUGCUUAGAAGAAAGAAAAGAAAGGGCUGGAAAGACUAGAUCAUUUUUGCAUUACCUUGAUGUUGGAUUGGGUAGGUUUUGGAGGUGAAGUUCAAGGCAGAAUAUAUAUUAUAUAUAUAUUAUAUUUAUAUAUUAUAUAUAUAUUUAUAUAUUAUACACACACACGCACAUAUAUUUUAACCAGCCUAUAGACUUCCCUUACUGAAAGAAACUUCUAACCCUUGGGGAAAAGUGCCUCUGCCUAUGUAUUGAACUGGGUGCCCGGGAGCUGAUUUUUUCCUUUUCUUCCAAAGAGGGGAGCAGCGUUAGUGAGCAGGCGGAGACAGCGGAGCAUGGCGAAUGGAUUUCAAGUGGAGUGUCAGGGCCACUAAUUCUGUGUCAGCUAACCUUUCUCUGCAGCCUACAAGAAGGGACGUAUGUCUGCUCAUUACCAUAAUCCAACACUGUUCCUCUGAGGCUUUAAUUAAAAGCAGCAAGCAGAGGUAAUUUUUUUUCUGGACAUGCUUAUUUAUGGAUGAGAGUGAAUCCCGGUUACCUUGUUAUACAAGGGGGUGGAUUGAGUCACAUGUAGCUCAUGAAGUGAGCAGGUACAGGACAGGCCUAAAGUGUCCCCAGUCUGAAAUACUGUGUGUAAUGACUGGUAAAUUUUCACUCCCCCUACCCCAUAUGACCCUUUUUGGGCAAGAGGGGGCAGCCCUCCUUGAGCACUCCUCAGUGGGCUCUCCAGCUGUUUAAUCCACAGCAAUUUAGAAAGUAAUGCCCCAAUGGAGGGUUCUCUAUUAAGCUGUCAUAAAGGGACAUUUUCCUUCCUCUGGACACCCCAUACAAGACUUAUCAUUAAAAAAAAGAAAAAAGAAAAAAAGAAACAGGUGUUUAAAUUUUUUAACUAGCUUUGGACUAGCUGCAUUGCUUAGUAUUUCAAACUAAUCAAAAGAUUCCUCCAAGUUUGUUGUUCCCUGAUAAUGUCACCGUUGGCAAUUAUUUAUGUAUGUUUUGUAUAAUUAAAGUAACAGGAAAGAGUAGAUCUAAUUCUUUUCCUGCAAAGCUGUUCAUUAUGGAAUAAUAUCAGUGACGUCUGUUUUUAUUUUAAUUUAUAUUAACCAAUUAACCUUACACCUGUGACUACAAGGUGUGCUUUUUCCCCCCCAUUCCAGCUAACAUAGCCUAAAACUUUGGUUCGUCUCAUUUUCCAUUCAUCCUCUUGCAUCCCCCAAAUGUCAAGUGUUGGGCUGUAUCUACCAGACAGCAGAAAUAAGGGAAAAUAUCCAUAAAGAAGAAACUUUAUUAUUCUACAUCAUCUAUCCCUGGACAUUUUUACCCCAUACAAGGUAGACAUCCUGAUUUUUCAUUUCAAAUUAAAAUACAUUUUAAAAAACCCAUAACCUCUCAUCUCAUUUUCAACGGAAUCCUAUUCUCCUCUUUUCAAUUUCCUUCAAUUCAGCGUUUUAUGCCCCAAUUUCUCUCUUCCUUUUAAAAAUCUCUUUCACACAAGCAUUUCAUUGUGCUGGGAGGUCGCCCCCGUCACUUCGGGCAACAGCAGGGACACAGUCAUUAAAAUGCAGUUCUACCUAACAAUACGGUGAAAAGGUCCUCACUCCGCCGCGCUAAUAGCGGUCGGAGUCGCCGCGCCAGCCGCCACGAGCCUCAAGCCCAUCACAAUAACUGCUGGGCAAGAGCCUAGGAGCGCCCGCCCGCGUGCGGUCGCCUUUGCCACCCAACGUUUCACAGCUCCGUGCCCCGCUCUGGGCCCAGGUUCUUAUCCGCCUGCCCUGGGAAUAUGCCCCAGAGCCGGCGGGGCUUUCUGAAAGCCGGUCGCUGCUGCCCGCCGCUAGCCCGUCCCUCUAGUCAGGCAUUGUCUGGCGGCCGCGCGCUCCCCAGUCCCUGGCUUCUCCGGCAAAGUGCUCCCCACCCGCUCCUCCUUUUGUACAAUAUUCCUGGCAGUAGAGAGCCCCUCAAGAAUUAUUUUUCUCUCUCUUCUGGAUAAUAAGGAGACGGAAGACAAAAUUUUCUACUCUUUCCACCAAACUGCCUUCCUCCCAUCCCCCUCCCACAUCAAUGCAAAUAGACUUACCAGGAAUAAGGUCAGUAUAGACUCUACCAAAUAAGGCCACCUGGAACCCGGAAGAUGCAAUCGAGUGUUUCUUUUUGCCUAUUGUAUCAGUGUAUUUCCAUGUCAAGAGGUGUUGGUGUUGCCGUCUUUUAGGCUUUUCCUAAAGAGAUAAGAGAGAGAUGGAGAGAUGGGGAGAAAAAGAUUGGGGGGUGGAGGGAGGCAGGGAGAGAGAGAGAGAGAGGGAGACGGAGAAACGGAGAGAGUUGUACAGAUGGACCCGAUGCAGUGACUGACUGGCACGCAGACACACACUUUUUGUUUGCUGCACAUAAUCUGCCCAAUGACGCGUGACAGCCCACGUCCCCUCCCUUUAACUCUUUGCUGGGCCAGGAGCUCCCUCCGGCGCCGCCUGCCUCGCAGCUUUUUCCCCCGGCCUGCCCGCGCCCCGCAGAUCAUGAGCGCCUACCCCGGGUGGCAACGCCUCUCAGAGAGCGUCCCGGCCCGCCUCUUCCUAAAGCUCGGGCCCUCUGGGACGGCUAGGAGGGGAAAAUCGUUUCAGGAUUGGAAAGGAAGGUACCAAAAGGAUUGGAGAGGGCCUUUCCCCGUUUCACUAGGCACUUGGAGAAGCUAUGACAGAGAGCUGGACACCCAGCGCGUGCGGACCCCGAGCGUAUUUCCCCGGAGUCCACGUUCCGUGAAAGGGAGAGGGGUGCGGUUAGCCCCAGGGAUACUCUAGCCCUGGAGCCACCGCUGAUUUGCGCCGCUAGUUGCCUGAGGUUGAUAAAGGGGCGUCGUCUCUCUUCAGGAGCACCAACACUACCAAGCUUCCCCCUGCAAAAUUCAGAAAGGAUGCGCUUUGGAAACAUUCCUCCCCAAACGGUACGGAUUUUUGGACGACUCCACCUUAAGACAGCUACUUCAGCCAGAACGUGGGACAGGCACUAACAGGAUAUCACCCUUGGGGAUAAACACUCUCCCGUUUCCUGUGUACGGUGGAAGAGGAAAGAACAGAAGCUGCCAAAGGGGUGGGGUGUGGGAAGUUCAUCCUUGCACAUUCAGACUAGGGAAGAAGAGAAUAUUAGGGACGCGAAUGGGAAGUGUAGUUUUUCCCCUUCCUUCCUUUCAUUUCAGAUCCCAUUAGUGCUUUUAUUUCUUUAAUUUUGAAAGCUAUUUCCCUUUCCUGAAUCUGGAUGCAGGCAGGGAGCGAACUCAAGGAAAUGAUGAGUAUGGAGGAGAGCCAGAGGACAGGGGAUUAUGUCCUGGGAACUCAAACUCUCCUGCUUCGCCACUGUCUCCGAGAGAGAUGCCCUGAGCCUUGGCCCAAUGUAAAGGGAGCUGAUUGGGUGUAUGGUUGGUGGCGGGUGGUCUGAAUAAGAAGUAAAAUAAGGAAAGCCAGAUCUACUCCCAUCCCAAAGCAUUAGAAGACACCCCUCCCCACCCCCCAGCUGUCUUGUGUCCGGCAGAAUGGCAUUAUGUAAAAGAUCUGGCAUGUCACCCAGUGGCACAUCUGGUAGGUGUAGAUGGCAUUCAUUAGCACGGGGCUUCUACUCUGCAGCAUGCCAAAGCUCUGACAGAGAUGCCCGCUGCCAAUCAUUCAUUGGCUGCCAAUCCCCAAGCGCGGCCGGGCGGGAUGGCUUCCUUCCACCCUGGCACCAGGAGUGGAGGAAACAAUGUGUUGAGAUAGAAGAGAUGAAAGUGGAGCUGAGGAUGCGAGGCACCCAACAGAUGUAUCCCGUGAGGAGAUAACGGUGCUAAGAGUCAUUUAGCAAGAAAGCAUAUGCAGGAUCUCAGGAGGGAGGCUUGGGCAGGGGGUCUGCUUGCCUAGGACUGAGCUGAAGGAAAAGCAGGGAGCCCUUUCAGAAACCUGAAAGUUGAAGUUGCUUCUCUAAAAACACACGAAGACCAAAACCUCAACCCCCUAAGUUUAGGAUUUCCCUCUGUCUUUGGUUUGUCACUUGUAUCUCUUUUUAUCUAGAAACCUAACUACCUCUGUAAAGGUCAACCUUUGUCAUGUUUUUUUUUCUGAGGAUCAAGAUGAAGAGCACCUUCCGGUUUUAAAUUUUGCAUAAUUCUCGUUAGCCUAGUAAUUUGGGGGCUAAGGGGAGGAAGAUUGUCAGGCUAUCUUCAGUGUAUCAUAAAAGGCAAAGGUCUUAUUUCCAUUCUUAGAUUUUCAGAGGGGAUAAAGAUGAACAAAGGAAAGCAAGGAAAUUAUUAAAAUGGCAAAGGAUGAUUAAACACAAAAUCCAGGAUAGAGAUUGUCUUUGAGGUUGUUCUUUUUCUUAGGCUAGGUGGCAAUUAACAAAGUGUUCAGUGUAUUGUUUUUCUUUGUGCCAUACACAUAUUUUACAUUCCUUUUAUCCUUUCACAAUUUAAUAAAGCAAUAACAAAA